UGGGGAAUAUUGCACAAUGGGCGAAAGCCUGAUGCAGCGACGCCGCGUGCGGGAUGAAGGCCUUCGGGUUGUAAACCGCUUUUAAUUGGGAGCAAGCGAGAGUGAGUGUACCUUUUGAAUAAGCACCGGCUAACUACGUGCCAGCAGCCGCGGUAAUACGUAGGGUGCAAGCGUUAUCCGGAAUUAUUGGGCGUAAAGAGCUCGUAGGCGGUUUGUCACGCCUGGUGUGAAAGUCCAUCGCUUAACGGUGGAUCUGCGCCGGGUACGGGCAGGCUAGAGUGCAGUAGGGGAGAUUGGAAUUCCCGGUGUAACGGUGGAAUGUGUAGAUAUCGGGAAGAACACCAAUGGCGAAGGCAGAUCUCUGGGCUGUUACUGACGCUGAGGAGCGAAAGCAUGGGGAGCGAACAGGAUUAGAUACCCUGGUAGUCCAUGCCGUAAAACGGUGGAUGCUGGAUGUGGGACCCUUCCACGGGUUCCGUGUCGGAGCUAACGCGUUAAGCAUCCCGCCUGGGGAGUACGGCCGCAAGGCUAAAACUCUAAAGUGAA
rnacentral:rRNA from 1 species